CAGAUGUCUACAUGGUUGUGACAUGGGCUGUUGUUUUGCUUCUGCUCGUCUGCCCCAUCACUCUUGAAAUAAUCUGGAGGAGACGGAGAUCAAUGCUUAAAUAUGGACAAGGAGCACCUGCAAUUCAGCAAGAGGAUGAGCAAGAGGCAGAUGAUCAACCAUCUACUUCAAUCACCCAAGAACCCCAGCAAGAUUCCAUUUCAGAUUCCCAGUGAUCCCUCUGCUGAAGAUGAGCAGCCUGUAGUGUUGCAGCUCUGCCUACUCUUCAUCAUCACACUCUUCAUCAUCAGCUG